GAGUAGGUGGCUGAUAAAAGGUAAUAAAUUGUAAAUUUAUGUAUGAGAGUUAUUCUCCCUGCUUA
rnacentral:tRNA from 1 species